GGGUGUCCUGAAGACCUGCUAUCUAGGCCACGUGCUGAGGACGUCAGUUCCUCUAGGGCGCUAGAGCCCGCCUAGGGGAAAGUCCCCGGACCCCGGGCAGAGAGUGUCGCACGCUGCGCAGCGUGCAGUGACCCGCCUCGCAGGCUCACGUUCUCCCCGCCGAGAAGCCCUCCGGGCUGAGCGGGUGGGCGCGGGGUGGGCUGCCCGUCAUUUCCACAGUAACGCAGGUAGUGCACACAGCCCCUCUGCGGGCUACAGCACCAACAGAACGGGGCUCAUUCUCAGAACACC
rnacentral:RNase_MRP_RNA from 1 species